rnacentral:snoRNA from 1 species
CAUUUUUGUACGGCAACCAACUAAAUAAUCGCUAUUUUGUACGGUUAUUGUAUAGAAAUAGCCGUAUGAGGCGGUUUAUACGGCAACUGUACGAGAACAAACGCAGCCUUAAAUGGUGCAAGCGGGAAAGCGCUGCGGUGUGAGUGAGGAUGUGACACGC